UACGUAGGGUGCAAGCGUUGUCCGGAAUUAUUGGGCGUAAAGAGCUCGUAGGCGGUCUGUUGCGUCGGCUGUGAAAACUCACAGCUUAACUGUGGGCGUGCGGGCGAUACGGGCAGACUGGAGUACUGCAGGGGAGACUGGAAUUCCUGGUGUAGCGGUGGAAUGCGCAGAUAUCAGGAGGAACACCGGUGGCGAAGGCGGGUCUCUGGGCAGUAACUGACGCUGAGGAGCGAAAGCGUGGGGAGCGAACAGG
rnacentral:rRNA from 1 species